AGGACGAACGCUGGCGGCGUGCUUAACACAUGCAAGUCGAGCGAGGCCCUUCCUUCGGGAAGGUGCCCUAGCGGCGAACGGGUGAGUAACACGUGGGCAAUCUGCCCCUAGCACUGGGAUAACUCCGGGAAACCGGGGCUAAUACCGGAUAUGACCUCUGAGGGCAUCCUCUGGAGGUGGAAAGGAUCCUGGCUAGGGAUGAGCCCGCGGCCUAUCAGCUUGUUGGUGGGGUAACAGCCUAUCAAGGCGACGACGGGUA
rnacentral:rRNA from 1 species